AUCUAUGGCCAUGCCCACUGAAAGUGCUUGAUCUUGGCUGAUCUUGGAAGAUAAGCACGGUCAGGCCUGGUUUGUACUUGGAUGGGAGAAGACACAAAUAACUUAAACAGAUAAAUAAGGAGCAAUGAGAUU
rnacentral:rRNA from 1 species